CCAGGAACCUCGGUAUGCCACAGGCAUGGACUAAUUAAUUUUUUAAAAAAGCAGGAGGGACAGGGAGUUCCUGUCAUGGCUCAGUGGUUAACGAAUCCAACUGGGAACCAUGAGGUUUCAGGUUCGAUCCCUGGCCUCGCUCAGUGGGACUCUGAUUAGACCCCUAGCCUGAGAACCUCCAUAUGCCACAGGUGCGGGCUGCCCUAGAUAAGACAGUAAAUAAAUAAAAUGCCACCUUUAAAAAAAAAAAGGGCAGGAAGGACAGAAACCCAAUCCUCUCCAACUUCCCCGUCAAGCUCUAAAAUUCUCAGAUCCUGACAUUUCUGCUGUGGCACAACGGGCUAACAACCCAACAUUGUUUCUUUGGAGGCCCCAGUUCAGUCCCUGGCCAAGCCCAGUGGGAUAUGAGUCCAGCUGUGGCAUAGGUGGCAGCCAUGGGUCAGAUUCUAUCCCUGGCCUGGGGAGCUUCAUAUACCAUGGGGGUGACCAAAGAAAAAAAAUUAUAAAUAAAUAAAAUUCUCAGAUCCUAAUACGUUUACAGCAUGAUUCAGUUUACAAGGGUUUGAUCUGCAGUGACCUCUCAUUCACCUCCCCAAGCCCCCCCAUCCAGCAUUAGCACAGUAGGUGCUCCCUAAAAGUUUUUGAAACUAAACUGGCGCAUGGAAUUUCCCAUCGUGACUCAGCAGUAAUGAACUUGACUAAUAUCCAUGAGGACAAGGGUUCAGUCUCUGGCUCGAUUAGUGGGUUAAAGAUCCAGCGUUGCUAUGGAGCUCCGAUGUAGAUUGCAGACUAGGCUUGGAUCUGGUGUGGCUAGCUGCAGCUGCCAGCCUACACCACAGCCAUAGACAUGCAGGAUCCGAGCUGUAUCUGCAACCUAUGCUGCAAUUCACGGCAACGCCAGAUCCUUUAACCCACUGAGCAAGGCCAGGAAUCAAAACCGCAUCCUCAUGGAUACUAGUCAGGUUCGUAACACUGAGCCACAAUGGGAACUCCUUUUUUUUAAAGAUCUCACUUUUAAAGGGCCAGCUACAGGAGUUCCCUUGUGGUCCAGGGGGUUAAGAAUCUGGCAUUGUCACUGCAGUGUCUCAGGCUGCUGCUAUAGUCCAGGGUUGUUUUGUUUUUUGUUUUUUUUUUUUUUGCUUUUUAGGGCCAAACCAGUGGCAUAUGGAGAUUCCCAGGCUAGGGGCCAAAUUGGAGCUGUAGCUACCAGCCUAUGCCACAGACACAGCAAUGUCAGAUCCAAGCCAUGUCUGCAGCCCACACCACAGCUCACAGCAAGGCCAGAUCUUUAACCCACUGAGCAAGGCCAGGGAUCGAACCUGCGUGUCAGAUUCGUUUCCUCUGAGCCAUGACGGGAGCUCCUGUGGUCCCCGUUUGAUCCCUGCCCUGGGAACGUCCACAUGCUGCAAGCACAGGCAAAAAAAAAGGGGGGGGGGUGGCAGUUACAAAAAUUGACUAAAACCUUUACAACCAAAAUGAGAAAGCAUUAGCAGUGCAGCCCCCAGCAGCACAGGACUGAGCCUGGGCGACCUGCAAUUGUGUAUAGUGAAGCAUUCGAGGCCCCAGUCUGGAGACAAGCAUCCUGGGUUUAAAAUGUUGCCUCAGACCCCAGACUCCACACUCACGUGCUCACAUACACAUGAAUGUGGUCGGUGGCCCUGUGACCGUGGGCAGGUCUCUACUGCAGGAGUAACCGCAUCCACACAGCGUGGGCUGUGAGGAUGGCUGAGCGGUGACUGCUCUGAUCAGGGAACAGCCGACCUGGACCACGUCAAGAGGAGCAGAAGGGCAAGGCACUUCCAUUUCAUCGGCAUAAGAACUCUGGGGUGGACAGCACAAGAAACUUGGGCUCUGAGUUCUCUGCAAAGCGGGGCUCUUUUCCUGUAAAUGGAGUACCCGUUCUCAGGCAUGGAAAAGCACCUCCGCCUAAAAUUCUUUUUUUCUGGCCACAUCCACAGCAUGCAGAGUUCCCAGGCCAGAGAUCAAACCGAGCCACAGCAGCAAGCAGAGCCACGGCAGUGACACCACCAGAUCCUCAACCCGUUGCCCCACCCGGGAACUCCCUAAAACAGUUGUCAGUCACAGUGCCUGAGCUAUCACUUGAGUUACUCCUUAAGGCUAAGUCCUUUCAUCUCCCAGCAGAAUAACUGAAACUGAAGCCAGUGUCAAGCCUUGGGCUGCAUCGUUUAAUAGUACUUAUCACAUUAAUUUAGAAAAUUCAGAGUAGGAUCACCCCCCCCAGGGCAUAGAAUGGGAGACAGAAACAUUAAAAUAUUCCAGUAUAAACUGCAGCCUGAUGAUUUGCUGGAAAGCAGCUUGG
rnacentral:lncRNA from 1 species